CAGUCGCCGCGGGAAUACAGAGGAUGCAAGCGUCAUCCGGAAUGAUAGGGCGUAAAGCGUCUGUAGGUGGCUUUUCAAGUCCGCCAUCAAAUCCCAAGGCUCAACCCUGGACAGGCGGUGGAAAAUACCAAGCUGGAGUACGGUAGGGGCAGAGGGAAUUUCCGGUGGAGCGGUGAAAUGCGUUGAGAUUGGAAAGAACACCAACGGUGAAAGCACUCUGCUGGGCCGACACUGACACUGAGAGACGAAAGCUAGGGGAGCAAAUGGGAUUAGAUACCCGAGUAGUCCCUGUCUCUUAUAA
rnacentral:rRNA from 1 species